GUACACAAAAAUGCACAUAUUGUGAGCUCGAUGAGUAGGGCGGGACACGUGGUAUCCUGUCUGAAUAUGGGGGGACCAUCCUCCAAGGCUAAAUACUCCUGACUGACCGAUAGUGAACCAGUACCGUGAGGGAAAGGCGAAAAGAACCCCGGCGAGGGGAGUGAAAAAGAACCUGAAACCGUGUACGUACAAGCAGUGGGAGCCUCUUUAUGGGGUGACUGCGUACCUUUUGUAUAAUGGGUCAGCGACUUAUAUUCUGUAGCAAGGUUAACCGAAUAGGGGAGCCGAAGGGAAACCGAGUCUUAACUGGGCGUUAAGUUGCAGGGUAUAGACCCGAAACCCGGUGAUCUAGCCAUGGGCAGGUUGAAGGUUGGGUAACACUAACUGGAGGACCGAACCGACUAAUGUUGAAAAAUUAGCGGAUGACUUGUGGCUGGGGGUGAAAGGCCAAUCAAACCGGGAGAUAGCUGGUUCUCCCCGAAAGCUAUUUAGGUAGCGCCUCGUGAAUUCAUCUCCGGGGGUAGAGCACUGUUUCGGCAAGGGGGUCAUCCCGACUUACCAACCCGAUGCAAACUGCGAAUACCGGAGAAUGUUAUCACGGGAGACACACGGCGGGUGCUAACGUCCGUCGUGAAGAGGGAAACAACCCAGACCGCCAGCUAAGGUCCCAAAGUCAUGGUUAAGUGGGAAACGAUGUGGGAAGGCCCAGACAGCCAGGAUGUUGGCUUAGAAGCAGCCAUCAUUUAAAGAAAGCGUAAUAGCUCACUGGUCGAGUCGGCCUGCGCGGAAGAUGUAACGGGGCUAAACCAUGCACCGAAGCUGCGGCAGCGACACUAUGUGUUGUUGGGUAGGGGAGCGUUCUGUAAGCCUGUGAAGGUGGCCUGUGAGGGUUGCUGGAGGUAUCAGAAGUGCGAAUGCUGACAUAAGUAACGAUAAAGCGGGUGAAAAGCCCGCUCGCCGGAAGACCAAGGGUUCCUGUCCAACGUUAAUCGGGGCAGGGUGAGUCGACCCCUAAGGCGAGGCCGAAAGGCGUAGUCGAUGGGAAACAGGUUAAUAUUCCUGUACUUGGUGUUACUGCGAAGGGGGGACGGAGAAGGCUAUGUUGGCCGGGCGACGGUUGUCCCGGUUUAAGCGUGUAGGCUGGUUUUCCAGGCAAAUCCGGAAAACCAAGGCUGAGGCGUGAUGACGAGGCACUACGGUGCUGAAGCGACAAAUGCCCUGCUUCCAGGAAAAGCCUCUAAGCAUCAGGUAACAUCAAAUCGUACCCCAAACCGACACAGGUGGUCAGGUAGAGAAUACCAAGGCGCUUGAGAGAACUCGGGUGAAGGAACUAGGCAAAAUGGUGCCGUAACUUCGGGAGAAGGCACGCUGAUAUGUAGGUGAAGCGACUUGCUCGUGGAGCUGAAAUCAGUCGAAGAUACCAGCUGGCUGCAACUGUUUAUUAAAAACACAGCACUGUGCAAACACGAAAGUGGACGUAUACGGUGUGACGCCUGCCCGGUGCCGGAAGGUUAAUUGAUGGGGUUAGCGGUAACGCGAAGCUCUUGAUCGAAGCCCCGGUAAACGGCGGCCGUAACUAUAACGGUCCUAAGGUAGCGAAAUUCCUUGUCGGGUAAGUUCCGACCUGCACGAAUGGCGUAAUGAUGGCCAGGCUGUCUCCACCCGAGACUCAGUGAAAUUGAACUCGCUGUGAAGAUGCAGUGUACCCGCGGCAAGACGGAAAGACCCCGUGAACCUUUACUAUAGCUUGACACUGAACAUUGAGCCUUGAUGUGUAGGAUAGGUGGGAGGCUUUGAAGUGUGGACGCCAGUCUGCAUGGAGCCGACCUU
rnacentral:rRNA from 1 species